rnacentral:rRNA from 1 species
CCCCUAGAUGUUCUGGGCCGCACGCGCGCUACACUGAACAGUUCAACAAGUCUUAACCUUGGCCGAUAGGUCUGGGUAAUCUUUGAACGCUGUUCGUGAUUGGGAUAGACCUUUGCAAUUAUGGGUCUUCAACGAGGAAUUCCUAGUAAACGCAAGUCAUCAGCUUGCAUUGAUUACGUCCCUGCCCUUUGUACACAUCGCCCGUCGCACCUACCGAUUGAAUGGUCCGGUGAAAUCUCGGGACGGCGGCUUGGUCGCUUGCGUCCGACUGCUGAAACUUGAUUAAACCAUAUCAUUUAGAGGAAGGUGAAGUCGUAACA